rnacentral:rRNA from 1 species
UUCUCAGUUCGGAUCGGAGUCUGCAACCCGACUCCGUGAAGCUGGAUUCGCUAGUAAUCGCGCAUCAGCCAUGGCGCGGUGAAUACGUUCCCGGGCCUUGUACACACCGCCCGUCAAGCCAUGGGANCCGGGGGUGCUUGAAGUGCGUCGCCGCAAGGCGCGCCCUAGAGCAAAACCGGUGACUGGGGCUAAGUCGUAACAAGGUAGC